CCUACGGGAGGCAGCAGUGGGGAAUAUUGGACAAUGGGGGGAACCCUGAUCCAGCGACGCCGCGUGAGUGAAGAAGUAUUUCGGUAUGUAAAGCUCUAUCAGCAGGGAAGAAAGAAAUGACGGAACCUGACUAAGAAGCCCCGGCUAACUACGUGCCAGCAGCCGCGGUAAUACGUAGGGGGCAAGCGUUAUCCGGAUUUACUGGGUGUAAAGGGGGCGUAGACGGCGAUGCAAGUCUGAAGUGAAAGGCGGGGGCCCAACCCCCGGACUGCUUUGGAAACUGUAUGGCUGGAGUGCAGGAGAGGUAAGUGGAAUUCCUAGUGUAGCGGUGAAAUGCGUAGAUAUUAGGAGGAACACCAGUGGCGAAGGCGGCUUACUGGACUGUAACUGACGUUGAGGCUCGAAAGCGUGGGGAGCAAACAGGAUUAGAUACCCGAGUAGUC
rnacentral:rRNA from 1 species